rnacentral:lncRNA from 1 species
AUCUUUGCAUCGUAGUCUCUCUCCGUAUCGCUAUCGUCUUUCUCUAUCUAUUUGUUCUGUCCUCUCUUUUUUGUAUCCCAUUUCUUUUUUUUUAUUCUCAUAUUUAUAAUAGAAAGGGAGAUCUGAGGAAUCAGAGCGAUUCGUGGGUUAGGCCAGAGAUAUUUUGAGGAGUCCGUUAGGGGUUCGAAAUUCGAAAUCGAAUUUUGAAACGGUUGUUGGAGGAAUAAAUAUUCGAAAUUCGAAUGAAUGUGGUUGGUUGGGAGAUAUUUUGGGAGUUGGUUGGUUGGUUGGGAGUUGGUUGUGGUUUGUUGAGAGAUAUUUUGAGAGUUGGAUGUGGUUGGUUAGGAGAUAUCUUCGGAGUUGGUUGGUUGGUUGGGAAAUAUUUUGGAAGAUGGUUGAGAAUUUGAAAUCGAAUUUCGAAUGGGGUUGUUAGGAUAACAGAUAUUUUCUAGGGUGUGGAUAUGGGCCAUCAUUGAUUGGGUCCACUUUAAUGAAAUUUGUUGGGCACA